GUUCACGUGGCCGAGUGGUUAACGCGUUCGACUGCUAAUCCAAUGGGCUCUGCCCCGCGUGAGUUCGAAUCUCAUCCUCAACA
rnacentral:tRNA from 1 species